GUUGUGCGCCAAUUAGCAGGUGCCUCCAUCUCCGGAACGCCUCAUGAAUGGCUAGUAGUUCUCGGUCAUACACCGUGUAGUUCCUCUCGGAUUUGUUCAGCUUUCGCGAAAAAAAGCACACGGUCUCCACUCUGACUCCUCCUUCCCUGGCUGGAGAAGCACCGCCCCAACCGCUCUGUCUGAUGCGUCAGUUUCCACUCUCAUCGGUUUUUGUAAAUCCACAUGCAGGAGCUGUUGUUCCGAGGCGAAGGCCCUUUUAGUUCCUCAAAUGCUUGCUCCGCCUCCUCCGUCCAAACGAACUUCUUCUUACUGCUGAGACAGUCCGUAAUGGGCGCCGUCAGGUGGGCAAAGUUUGGGAUGAACUUACGAUAGAAGUUCCCAAACCCUAAAAACCUCUGCACAUCCUUCCUUGUUUUGGGUGUUUUCCAUUCCAGUACCGCCUGGACCUUGUCGGGAUCCAUGGCCAACCCCUUGUCAGACAGGCGAUACCCCAGGAAUUCCACCUCCUUGGUAUGAAACUGACACUUCUCCAGUUUCACCCACAGCUGGUUGGCUUGCAGCCUGCUCAACACUUCUCUGACGUCUCUCACAUGCUGCUCCUCAUUCUCAGAAUACACCAACACGUCGUCUAAGAAGGCCACACAAUUCUUGUAAAGCAACGGCCCCAGGACGUGGUUCAUAAACGAUUGAAAUGUUGCGGAGCCUGCUUGUAGACCGAAGGGCAUAACUAAGUAUUCAAAUGCCCCUAAAGGGGUGAACAUGGUGGUUUUCCAUUCAUCCCCCUUCCUUAUUCGUAUCAGGUUGUACGCCCCCCUUAGAUCCAGCUUGGUAAAAAUCUUUCCCUUCCGCACCCUUGUCAAAAUGUCGUCAAUCCUGGGCAUCGGGAAGGCCACUGGUUCUGACACUGCAUUUAAGGCCCUGAAGUCACACACCAGUCUCGGCUUGUUCGUGUUUUUGUCCACAAAAACACUGGGCUGCCCCCACCGCCCUGGACUCUCUGAUGAACCCUCUCUUCAGGUUCUUGUCAAUGAACUCUCUUAGCUCCUGCAUCUCUCUGUCUGACAUGGCGUACAGCUUGCCCACAGGGAGCUGUGCCCCAGGGAGCAAAUUGAUUUGACAGUCAAAGGCUCUAUGCGGUGGUAGUUGGUCAGCUUCCCUUUCGCUGAAGACGUCGCGGAGAUCUGCGUAUUGUCGUGGUACCUUCACGUUCUCCGUCACUUCAGUCCCUGCUAGAGUGGCUUGGGCCCCUGCCAAAACCCUUCCCUCUUUGCAAUGUUCUAAGCAAUGUGCUGACCCAAAAGAAACCACUCUUUGAUGCCAGCCCACCAGCGGAUCAUGUAACGCUAGCCAGCUCAUCCCCAAUAUAAUGGGAGCUCCUCCCAAGGUGGCCACAUUAAAUGCUAUUAGUUCGGUGUGCCUUGCCACCUUCAUUAUCAUUGGGACGGUCUGCAAGCUGACUUCUCCUCCCAACAGCUCCCUGCCAUCGAUCGUGGUUACCUGCAGGGGGUUGCUUAAAGGGAGCGUCUGUAUCUGGUGUUCAGCUGCAAACUCUUUGCUCAUGAAAUUGCAGGAGCUGCCUGAGUCCAACAGCGCCUUUAUCUUUAGAGGGUGUCCGUUUGGCAGCUCUAGUGUCACUUCUAUCACUAGGGCGGGUUUAGGAGGUUCUGGAGUGGGCACUUUCACUGCUCUUUGGCCUGGCUGCUGUGCCCCGACAAUGGCAGCCAGGCGUUGGCUUUUAGUUGCUCCGGUAUUUUUCCUCUCUUCCCUCCACAGCUCCCACCAUCCCUUGCCAUUCCUUCCUCUGGGGGCAGACUCUGGCAAAGUGCCCUGGCUGUUGGCAGAGAUAGCAUUUCCGGGCGCCUUUUCCAUCCUUCUUUCCCCCUCACUGGGCUUUGAAACUGCGCGCGCGCGCGCUGUUCCGAUUUCCAUCGGCUCUGCCGGCGGGACAGUUGGCUCUGGAAUGUCUGGAAUGCGGAACUCCUUCCAACGUUCCCCUUUCCCUUCCCGCCUCUCCAAUGCUCUCGCCUCCUGGCGCGCUCCUAUGGCCAGCGCUGAUUUGGUCAGCUGGUCCAUAGACUCCGCCCUGGGCGCCCGGGAAAGUUCAUCUUUCACAGCCGAAGAAAGCCCUUCUUCAAAGAGCAUUUGAAUGGGUUCCGCCGAUAAGUCCCACCCCAAUCUGUGUAUCAGCAUGGUGAACUCAGUCCAGUACUCACGUACAGAUCGGCUCCCCUGUUUGCAAGCCAUUAACUGUCUGCGCACCACUCCCUUUUCAAUAUCGCUGGAAAACAUCAGAUCCAUGGCGCGAAAGAACUUCAUCGUGUCCUUUAGGACGUCACUAUGCGCUGCCAUCAGGGGUCUCACCCAGUCUCUCGCCCCCUUUUCAAGAUGCCCAAUCACAAAAGCCACUCGUGAUUCCUCAUCAGGGAAAUCAUCAAACUGCAGAUUGAGGGCAUAUUGCAUUUCUGUCCGAAAGCUAUGAUAGUCUUUGGGCUCCCCCCCCAAAUUUCUGCACCAAUCCUGGUACCUUUCUGGCGAGCUGGGUGGCUUUCUCCCUUUUGUCUGCAUCUUGAGCCCUCCUCUCCUCCAGCCUCGCCGUCUGCAGCGCCAGCUGGACCUCCAACACCCGGUACCUUUCUUCCAGGCUUGGACCCGCUCCAGCCCCUGCUUCUCCGGUUCCUGCUGGGUUGCUCAUUAUGCCUUCUCCUGCACAAGCUGCGUUCAAAGACUGUCGGAAUGCUGUGAUGGGAUUAUGAGCUGCUUGUGCGUAAAAUCGUAUUCCCUCAGAGUUUGUUCAAGUCCACAAACCUCUGUCUGUGACUGAGCCCCUCUGACAUGGCUCCUCUAGUCACUAGAAGAUUCCGACAGUGGUUGCUUUCGUAAUCGCUUCCAACAUAAAAGCUCCUUAACGGAAACACGUCUUCUGGACUCUCUGCGUGACAGUUUCCGGCGAGGAGUGGGUGUCGCUACAGGAGGUCCGGAAACCUCACCACUGUUUUCGCUGGAAGUAUCUCUGAGCCAUCCCCCCAGCUCCCUUUCCCUCAGUUCAGCUUCUCUCCCCCUGCUGGUUUCCUCUUCCGCUGCUGAGUCUCUUCCAACCUGUCUGAGCCCUUUCACCUCCCUCAGUUCAGCUUCUCUCCCCUUGCUGGUUCCCUCUUCAGCUGCUGAAUCUCUUCCAACCUGUCUGAGUCCUUUCACCUCCCUUCCUUCCGAUGGCAGUUCCCUGACA